rnacentral:tRNA from 1 species
GGGGUUCUAGCUCAUCGGUAGAGCGCUCGCUUAGCAUGCGAAAGGUACAGGAUUCGACUCCCUGGUACUCCA